rnacentral:rRNA from 1 species
AACGAACGCUGGCGGCAGGCUUAACACAUGCAAGUCGAACGCCCCGCAAGGGAGUGGCAGACGGGUGAGUAACACGUGGGAACAUGCCCAAAGGUACGGAAUAUUCUCGGGAAACUGGGAGCAAUACCGUAUGUGCCCGAAAGGGGAAAGAUUUAUCGCCUUUGGAUUGGCCCGCGUUGGAUUAGCUAGUUGGUGGGGUAAAAGCCUACCAAGGCGACGAUCCGUAGCUGGUCUGAGAGGACGACCAGCCACACUGGGACUGAGACACGGCCCAGACUCCUACGGGAGGCAGCAGUGGGGAAUCUUGGACAAUGGGCGCAAGCCUGAUCCAGCCAUGCCGCGUGAGUGAUGAAGGCCCUAGGGUUGUAAAGCUCUUUUACCAGGGACGAUAAUGACGGUACCUGGAGAAUAAG